rnacentral:rRNA from 1 species
AUUGAACGCUGGCGGCAUGCCUAACACAUGCAAGUCGAACGGUAACAGGCCUUCGGGCGAUGACGAGCGGCGGACGGGUGAGUAACGCGUAGAAAUCUACCUAGUAGUGGGGGAUAGCCCAGAGAAAUUUGGAUUAAUACCGCAUACGCCCUACGGGGGAAAGCGGGGGAUCUUCGGACCUCGUGCUAUUAGAUGAGUCUGCGUCGGAUUAGCUUGUUGGUGAGGUAAUGGCUCACCAAGGCGACGAUCCGUAGCUGGUCUGAGAGGAUGACCAGCCACACUGGAACUGAGACACGGUCCAGACUCCUACGGGAGGCAGCAGUGGGGAAUAUUGCACAAUGGGCGCAAGCCUGAUGCAGCCAUGCCGCGUGUGUGAAGAAGGCCUUAGGGUUGUAAAGCACUUUCAGCAGUGAGGAAAGGGGUGUCGUUAAUAGCGCCAUCCUGUGACGUUAACUGCAGAAGAAGGACCGGCUAACUCCGUG